GGGUGGAAUACAAGUAAAACACACGAUUAUUAUCGUGUGUUAUAUAAAGUUUCAUUAUACACUUUUUAUGAACGGAAUCAUAUGUGAUUUCUAACUAUUAUAAGGAAACUUUCAUAUGCAAAAUAUACUAUAAGUAUAUUUGUCCAUCUUUUGAAAUGAAAAAAUGUUGUUAUAUAUAUAUAAAUCAAAACCUUGCUUAUAUUGUAAGUAUAUGUGUCCAUCUUAGGCACUACAAAAAUUACACUUUUCAUAACAAGUGAGCGUUUCACUAGGGAUUACUAUACCAACAAGACACACUUUUAGAAAACUAUAAUAGUUAUAGUUUUACGAGAACAUUACGAACUUUUACAUACUAGGAAUACCAUUUCAAGGAGAUACAUUCAUAUACAAGAACAAACGAACGUUUUCAUGUGUACUUCAAAUAGUUUUCUCAAACGUUUUUACAUGUUGAAAUACUUUUAGAAACUGUCUUACAAACUAUAGGUUUCCUUUUUGAA
rnacentral:lncRNA from 1 species